rnacentral:lncRNA from 1 species
GUUACCAAGCAUGUCCUGAAGAUGAAGAUACUCUCAGCCUAACGUCUCCAAGCAAAUAUUGAUUCAGCAGUAUCCCCAGGUAGGUGCUUUUGCUUAAAAGGGGCUUUCCUGUUAGCCCUUGGCAUUUAUUGUGCUUAUAAGCUGACAAGACACAUAGAUCUAAACCCACAGGAGCCUUCAGAGCAACUGUUGGUACCGCCCUCUGCUAGGCAGGAAAGAAGGAGCCAGAGAGGAUAACUGAUCCACCAAGGUCACCCUGCCAGUGAGCAUCAAAGGCAAUUCUAGUCCACAUAGUUACCAUGACAUUACAGGAUGUUUGUCUAGAACUUAAGCCCCAAAUACUAUGCUUAAGUUCUAGACCACACACAUGUGUGCACACACACAAGCACACGCGUGCACACAUACAAACACAAUGUUCAUUUCUCCGGAAAUCCUGAACACUUUUCUAACUUCAAAGGGUAGCAACCUAGACGUGCUGAUAACCCACCUUGGC